UGCGACAUAAAUGAGUAAUGCGGCCGCCCCGCGCCCCCCGCCCGCUCCCCCCACACCCCCCGAUCGAUGCAAUAUCAUUAGGCGAGAGGCACCGAGACACGCCGGGGCGGGGGGGAGAGCGGGAGCUCCCCGGGACGAGCCGCUGCGGGAUGCGGGAGCCCGGCUGGGUUGACGGCCCCAGCCCCGGGGAAGCCUCUCGGAGCGCCCAGAUGCUCCGGUGGUGGGCCGGGGCGCGGCGCAGGGGAGAGGCCCGGUCUCCAUUCGCCAGCUGGAUGUUAUUGAUCCCUUCCCUCGCCUCCUCUUUUCUUCCCGAGCUCCCUAUUUAAUUCCCAUCCCUCUGCUCCUCCGCAGCCUCCCGGGCAGCGCUCCGGGAGGAGCCGGGCAGUGCCGGGGCGCAGAGGGGUAUUUUCCUGUCGCCGCAAGGCUCCUUCUGCCGGCUCGGGAAGCGUCUCUGCUUUUUCGAAAAGAUCCCGAUUUGGGAGAUUUUGCUGCGGGGAGCCGGCGCGUCCUGCGGGGAGAUGCGGGGGAGGCAGCGGUGGGACAGGAGCAAGGAUGAGGUAGGGAUGGGGGUGAGGGAAAAUGCGACAUGAGGCAGGGAAGGGGACAAGGCAGGGACAGUACAAAGAUGAGGCUGUGAUGGGGACAAGGCAGGGGUAGAAAUAGGUAGGGAUGGAAAUAGGCAGGGAUGAGGAUGAAGCAGGGAUGAAGACAAAGCAGGGAAGGGGACAGGCAGGGGCAAGGAUGAGGGUGAGGAUGAGGCAGGGAUGGGGGCAAGGCAGGGGCGGGGAUGAGGUAGAGCAGGUACUGAGGCAGGGCCGGGGGAUGAAGCAGGGACGAGGCAGGGACCUGCCAGACACAGCAGCUGCCCCAGGCUCAGCGGGGACGGGCAGCGGGUCCCCGCAGGAUGGGGCACCCAGGCCUGUCCCUCGCCCACCCUGGCUUGCUUGUGUGAUGCUGGGCUUGGCAUUAAAAUAAUCUAAAGCGGCUCAUAUCCACACAGGGCUGUUACACACAGACACCUGGACACAGACACACAGACACACACAGAGACUCGGACACACAGACACCUGCAGACACACAGACACACACACAGAGACCACUGGCUGGCCGUAGCCAAUACUCAACGCACAGACCUGUCCAAGGGAAACAUGUGCAUCACUGCCCCCCAAACCCACCCCUGCCCCCCAAACUCACUGCUGCCCCGGGCAUAGAGCCACCCCCGUGGCAGAGGCCACCCCGGGAGCCAGCCCAGCUGGGGCACAAGGCGGUGGCACCCCUUUCCCUGUGCCCUCCUCUCUCCCACAGCAGUAAUUGCUGCUGUAUUUAUCCAAACUAGGAGGGGGUGGCAGAGAGAGACUUCGAAGAGUAAUUUUCCAGGAAUUCUCCCUGGUGUAAUUGUCUUGAUAAUAAAUCCAGACGCUUAGCCUGUG